rnacentral:rRNA from 1 species
AACGAACGCUGGCGGCAUGCCUAACACAUGCAAGUCGAACGAACCCUUCGGGUCUAGUGGCGCCCGGGUUCGUCACGCGUGGGAACCUUCCCUUAGGUUCGGAAUAACUCUCCGACAGGGGUGCUAAUGCCGGAUAAUGUCUUCUAACCAAAGAUUUAUCGCACUUGUAUGGUCACUCGUUGAAUUAGCUUGUUCUUAGGGUUAAAGCCUAUCACGGCGACGAUCAAUAGCUGGUCUGAGAGGAUGAUCAGCCACACUGGGACUGGGAAACGGCCCAGACUCUUACGGGAGGCAGGAGAGGGUAAUAGUGGACAAUGGGCGAAAGGCUGAUCCAGCAAUGCCGCGUGAGUGAUGAAGGCCUUAGGGUUGUAAAGCUCUUUUACCCGGGAUGAUAAUGACAGUACCGGGAGAAUAAGCUCCGGCUAACUCCGUG